rnacentral:misc_RNA from 1 species
CUGAAGCCGGUCUAUAUUUCGGGAGGGGAUUUGACACCGAUAGUCCGGAGCAGUCGCUUACGGAUGGCAAUUUGGAAGUCUUAGCUGUGAAAGCCAGAGAAAAAGAUAUAUGCAUAUACUUACAUAUAUAUGUAAUAAACAGAUACCUCGGGUUCACUAUCCAGUCCUUGAUGUUGUCAAACCAGGAUUUUCUCUGUCUGACUCUCUUUUGUCCUCUGUCAACUGUGCUCUGAAGAAUGGUUUUGGACAGUGAGCUGUGGUGAGAUACCUGACCAU